UUGCAGGAAUCGCAUUUUUUGUCCUUUUCUUUUUUUAAACCUUACGUGCACAGCAGCCCUCAUACUAAGAUGUCAUCAUCAUCAUCAGCUUAUUUUGUGUCCACCGCAUGACGACGGAAGCACACUUAUGAGCACGCGGAACACGCGAAGCAUACCUAAGUUGGUUCUUUAUUCUGUGCGUUGGUUGCUUUGGUCUUUGGUGUACUACGGACGCUCUCCCCAGGCCUCGUAUUGCGAGUCAUUGAUCAAGUAUCGGGUAGUUUAUUUGUUUUUAGUUUUGUUUACUAUUUUCCUCUUAUAAUCUCGUUGAUCCCAUAGUGAGUUCCUGUCUAUUUCUUCUCCCGGCCAGCGGUCCUUUCUCUGGGCGGCUUCCCUUCCCACCAGUGAUAUCUCUAUGGAAGCUUUCUUGCGCAGUAGCAUUCACAACGUUCCAGUUGCCCUAGUGCCAACCAAUGGGGGAUUCAUUCGCGUGAAGAAUCCAAAGACAAUUCAGGAAAAGCUGAGGAAAGCAACCCGCACUUCCGGAGCGUAGCCAAUGUCUGACAAUUUGGCAGAGGGGGCAUUCUGUUUUGUUCGGCUGACCAGACCUGUCUCCGACCUUCUAAAUUGUGGAAUGUUCGCGAGUCACCCGAUUGUGCUGUUGAGGACCGGAUUCGUCAAUGCAGGGUCUGAGCAUGCGCUGCAUCAGGCCUAUCUGCUGCUACCUCCGGCUGUCUGCCCUGCUGGCUUCAUCGGACGAAACACGUCUCAAGAAUCUAUACCACGUGCACUGCUUUGGGACCACCUGACCAGCAUGGUGACGUCGACGGGGACAUAAUGGCACUCGGAUAAAAGCAGCAGCCUUUUCGACAUACCCUUCAGUGGACUUGGAAGCACCGAAUGAGCACGGAUGCUGAUCAAAUUUUUUCUGAUCGGACAGCAGCGGUAUAUAUCGGAAGUUUGCAGAACCCUCAGGACCGGUACCAUAAGGGAUGCCGCUGCCUGUGUACCUGCCGACUUGUUUAAGCCUGUGUGACCUGGCGCCCAUACCAAACGGACAAGACCAUCGCAAAAGAGCGGCCGGUCAGGUCGACCGAAGUGGAGAGACGGGAGACCACGUUACUCGACGGAAGAAAUCGAAGCCUCUCUCGGCGUCCGUGGGCUGCUGCUUUUAUACUCUCGGAGUCGAGGGCAAGAAGGAAUGGCUCGGGAUGAGGCGCACGUGACGGCGGCACACGGACACGUUGAGACGAGAAGGUGACGCAUCCGCCGGGCCGGCGCCGGUCAGACCUCCUCGCUUCACAGUUGGGGAGCUCCUCUCCCCGGCUGCCGCGCUUUGACAAGCGUGGGCACCAACAUGUACACACACACACACACGAAGACACGUGGCAUUGAAACAUGCCUGGAUGCGCUUGGGAGGAAGCGUUGCGGCAGCGCUGAACGGGCCAAAAUGUCCGCCGCUUUGAAUGAAGCCCCGGCGUCCGUUGCAUCCGCGCCGGCUAUACCGCGCGUCGGAGGCGAAACGUAACAGUGCAUCAUUUGCACCGAGAAGCGUUCUUAGUUCCAUUAGCGCGUGUUCUGUGUGGACAGAAGCAAGCGGAUUUAUGACUGGGUUGCUCGUGUGUUGAGGGCAGCCGUAUUCUGACUUCUUUAGUGAGCGUGCGUGGAACGAGUAAUUGAGACGCAUUUUUUUAAAAGGGUUUUGCGGAGUGCGUAAGUUACGCAUAUCAAGUUCUGGUUUAAGGUACGUGUCCUGUAUGGACUAGAGAAAGACACGUGAGUAGGCGUAAUGAAAAGUUUGCCUACAACGCAAGUACGCGUUCUGUUUAGUGACCACAAGGCUAGCGCGCUUGUGAUUACGUACUUGUGAGGUUGACCAGACUGUUGAGUGGCACCAAUACGUGCGAUAAGUACGCCACUGCGAUAGGUUGAAAACAUGCUGUUCGUGUAGUUAGGCCACUUAUGUUCGGCUGUUUUCACUGUUUGUUUGCAAUGGCAACGACCCGUUGUUUUGCUACAACAAUAGCACUCUGGUCUUGUCGGCAUUCGGGGAGAAAUGGAUAGCGGUUUGGAAAGGUGGUUGGAACUGCUUUGUCAAAAUUAAGGAAAUAAAAGAUCAGGGUUCAUUUUGACUCAGUAAUAGCCUGGCGAGUCAGGGGUGAAGAGCCUGCGCUUACACGUGGUGCAGCACUGUGUUGUUUUGUUUGUUUGACGUAUGUUCUCCAGGGCCCAGGAUCCCGAAGGUUGUCAAACGAGGCUCGACACCAGUACCCUGCAGGUUCUUUCAGCGUUCCUCAUGGCCAGCGAAUUGAGAUCACCGGCCAUUCUGAACUUCCGGGGCGAGGACGAGCUGUUAGAUAUGGGGCCGUUUCCUGAGCCUACAUCGAGUUCCCCAGACCACAUCGAAUCGCACCAAAGCUAAGUACGGAAUGCAGAAGCAGAUGCCACAUUCCUGAGGCACGGCACGUGCAAACAAGUUGGCGGACCCCACUUCGUGUGCAGCCGGUGGAGCUAUUCACUGCUUGGCUCUUUCCGAAAGUGAGGGGAAGGGACUCUUCCGUCCUGGCACUGUUGCGGGUAAAGUGGGUCCCGAAGAAAGACGGCUGUAAUGCGCCGUGACAACCUGGCGGCGAUGCCCCCUACCCUCUAUGGCGACGACGCAUUGCAAGGCAGCAAGGCAAGACCGCAGGGAGAAGUAAACCCUCGGACAAACACCCGAGCAGCGACUCUCUUCGCCGGGUGUGAUUCCAUCGCACGGGCGCCUACCAUUGGCCGAAAAUGGCGUCAUCUGAGCGGGCUCGCCCAUUGGCCGAACGUGACGUGUCAUCAAGAUACCGAAGGGCUUAAAAGACGAAGACAGAGCAUUCCUAGAGCAUUCCGGGAUUCAUCUCUUUCGAACUUCUUGCGACGGGCCGCAGCGUCCGAGUUGCUGCCGGCCCGUAAUGACUUUACUACUGUUAAUUGACGCUCACUGUAAAUAAUGUAAAUAAACCCAAGUUUUUCAUCUCGAAGUCCUCCUCAACUCCUACAACUGGCGCCAGCGGUGGGAUUUCCUCCAACUCCUACAACUGGUUGCUAGCGGUGGGAUCGCCUCCAAAUGCAUCACGCGGUCCUCGGGACUGGGAAGUCCUUAAGACAAAAAUAGCCCAAAUAUAGCCAUGUAGCCAACUCGGAAUUUUCGACGCCAAUCCGCAUAAAAAGUAGCCCGAUUUGGCUAUUAAUAGCCCAAUCUGGCAACCCUGCUCCCCAGCUCGAAUCGCCGCGCGAACAAGUGGCCUCUAGAUUGGCGGCCCCCUGUGCGCCCUCUCUACCCGAGCUCUCUCCCGCUGAGCGCCUUAUCGCCGCGGCAGAUGCUUAUAGGCCCGCAACAAGUUAGCAUAAGUUAGUCACAUGGGACCUUUGCUGCCGCGACUUCUCGUUCUCCCAAGCAGCAGAAAGUCCCCGUUACAAAAUCGGUCCGACGUCUCUGGCCGACUGCAAAACGGUUGGCCCGACCUCGGCAUCCGAUGGGGGGCCGGCAUCGGGGAUUGAUACUGGCCUCACGUCUAGCGUGAAGCCAGUGAAGCUUGGUUAGUGCUCAUACAAACUGAAACAAACGAACAAACAAAUAAUAUAAUAAUGAAUAACUCUGAACCAUGCAGGUGAUUUAGUGGACUUUUUCACAUGUGUGUGCAAGAAAUCCUGAUCCUGGCACAGCCACAGACAAAAAUAUUUCGUCGUUGCACAUGCAUGUAAUAGACAUAUACUGUGCACUUCCAGUGAAAAUUAGUGCGUUCAACUUCUGCGACGGGAUUCACGCUUUAGAACCGCCCAAGGAAACACGAGGACAAGAAGGAUCGAUUUACUGACUUGGCUCAGAAUAUCGUUGAAAAAAAAUAUACAUCCAGGGAGCGCGAUAAAUGAAUACGACAGCGCAUGGCAUGCACAAACAAAAUAGCUCGCAGACUGCCACGAAAUAGGUAUAAAGGCUUACAUCACGUCGAGACUGCGGUGACAAGUUUUACACGUAAACUAUUAAAAUGCAACAACAGAACAAUUGAGGAACAACUUACAUAUCGGUUAUCCGCAGUGUUUCACGUACGUGUCUUCUUGUCCGAUGUUCCUAGAUCUACUCUAGUCCACAUUCGGGGAUGUGCCACACACAAUCCAUUCUUACCUGCAAUGCAGCAGACGUGGGGAUGCGCGACUCUCGCGCGUCCCCUGAUAUCUUGUUUUCCCGCAUAGCCCCCGUCUCCGUGCGGCGUCGCCGCGUGGGCUGCGGCGGUCGGAGUGGUACAAGCGCGGUGCGAGAGAUGGCGCGAGUGUCGCGCCGCUGCGGGGUUACUUGGGUGCGGGGGAGACAAGGCGCUUCCUCUUUCCCGGCGGGUCGGCGCACGGCGUGGACGUCCCGCGCGCGCGCGGCGACCCAGGUUUCUGCGAGACCGCCUCGCGUGGCCGCCUUCGAACGCGCCACCGUUGGCGUGACCCUACACGCGAACGACCAGGCGUUGGGAUCCAGCAUGGGGCGAACAUAUUCGCUCGCUAUGCGGUCGCGGUGAGUUGGACUUCUAGAUUUGUCGCGCGCCCAUCGGCAUGUUUUGGGGAUAGCAACUCAGCUAGCUGGCAUUGAUCUAUGAAAGGUGCAAUAAAUGCCCUUGUGAUUGUUUGCACUACUGUGUUGUCGUUCCUUUGUCUCAAGAGCACGGAGGAGAACCCGAUAUCUCCCACAACGUAUAUCCUACAGUACUGGGUAUUUACAGUUUUGUUUUUCAUCUGUGGGAAGGAACAAAAGCGACUUCGAAUUAAUUAUGACUUUUCCGCAAUCACAACCAGACAAGCGUCUUACCUGAUUUCUUCCCGAAUGGUGAUAACAGUUCCGAGCGUAGCAGGUCGUUUGCACACUAUGCUUCAAUUUAAGGAGUGUCGUUCCAGUGUUUCCAAAAAGAAAAUAAAGGAAAAUACGCCACGCUUACAAGACGAAAAAAUAAUAAUAGUAUAUACCUGAAAGUACGUCUCACAUUAACGCUUGAUCCGUUGUCAUAUAAAGCUCUUCUUUAUUUCUUCCUGUCAGAAAAAACACAGAAAACAAAGAGUUCAUACGUUGCAAAACCAUUCGCGCAAUACAAAGCUAGUUUUGUUCACUUGACAAAGGCGGUCAUGCACUACAUAACGUGAAAUUAAAAUGCCACUUACGAGUACGCAUAUCUUGCACGGCGAGACACGGCGGCUCCACUCCAUGGAAAGGGCUUGCGCUAUUCUUGUCCAUGAUAACAUAAAUGCACCAGCUAGUCUACCAACCUGGUGUUAACGGCGCUGUUAACACCACGUUGGAAAACCAACAAGCCCAAGCUGCUAUUCUAGUCUACCAAGCUGUCGAGAUGCGAAACGAGCUGGCAUGCAGAGCUAGCAUUUGGCGUGAACUCGUGCCCCUGCCGCCCUGCCUGCCCCCUCGAGCAGGCGGCGUUGCGCCUGACGAAGAAAAAAUAGAUAGCAAAGAAAAUGCUGCUUCGCUUUCUCGCCCCGUCCUCGUUGGUGGGAGCUGACGGAGAAAAUCGCCCGUCCCUGCUUUCCAAGAACCUUUUCAUUCCUUCUAGGAGAGGGAGAUGCGACAGCACAAGACGACCGCGGUUCCCCAUACUUUUAAUUUCUUCUGCUUUUUUUUCUUUUUUGGCUGUUUCCUUCUAGGUGUGUGUUGUGCGUGUGUAAUGAAAACCUGCGAUCUAGAUUUUGCAGGGAUUGGUAGCUCUAUACGAAUAUGUAUAUAGCUAAUAUAUAUAUUAAUUAGAACUUCUUCAAUGCGUCAAACAGCAUUUUGGGUGCUAUGUAUGUUACCACGUAGGUUCUGUUUUCCUUUUUGUUAAUAUUGUCUAAAUAUUGUUUAAUCUUGUUUUGUUUUCUGUUGUCCUUGCUCAUUAUUGUAUAACUGUUGUUACACUGUGCAAUUACCUUUGUUUUAAAAGUCUUGAUGUGAAGCCGCUGCCAAGCGAAAGGGAGCUGCGGCUUUGUCAAGCUGUAUCUGACAGCUUUUACUGCGACUUCGCUGUCUGUACCUUUACAAGGCAGAAAUAACUAAUUUGAAUUUGAAUAAAUAUUCAUUUUCAGUGCAUCA